AUUGAACGCUGGCGGCAUGCUUUACACAUGCAAGUCGGACGAGUGGCGAACGGGUGAGUAAUGCAUCGGAACGUACCGAGUAAAGGGGGAUAACUGUCCGAAAGGACAGCUAAUACCGCAUACUAUUCGAGCGGCCGAUGUCUGAUUAGCUGGUUGGCGGGGUAAAGGCCCACCAAGGCGACGAUCAGUAGCGGGUCUGAGAGGAUGAUCCGCCACACUGGGCCUGGGACACGGCCCGGACCCCACGGGGAGGAACAGUGGGGGAAUUUUGAACAAUGGGCGCACGCCUAUUCCGGCCAGGCCGGGUGUCUGAAGAAGGCCGUCGGUUUGUAAAGGAUUUUUGUCAGGGAAGCGGUACCUGAAGAAUAGGCACCGGCUAACUCCGUGCCAGCAGCCGCGGUAAUA
rnacentral:rRNA from 1 species